rnacentral:rRNA from 1 species
GAUGAACGCUGGCGCCGUGCCUAAUACAUGCAAGUCGAACGCUGAAGGAGGAGCUUGCUCUUCUGGAUGAGUUGCGAACGGGUGAGUAACGCGUAGGUAACCUGCCUCUUAGCGGGGGAUAACUAUUGGAAACGAUAGCUAAUACCGCAUGACAACAGUUAUUGCAUGAUAACUGUUUAAAAGGGGCAACUGCUCCACUACCAGAUGGACCUGCGUUGUAUUAGCUAGUUGGUGAGGUAACGGCCCACCAAGGCGACGAUUCAUAACCGGCCCGGGAGGGGGAUCGGCCCCCCUGGGACUGGGAAACGGCCCCGACUCCUUCGGGAGGCAGCAGUAGGGAAACUUCGGGCAUGGACGGAAGUCUGACCGAGCCACGCCGCGGGAGUGAAGAAGGGUUUCGGAUCGGAAAGCUCUGUUGUAAGAGAAGAACGAGUGUGGGAGUGGAAAGUUCACACUGUGACGGUACCUUACCAGAAAGGGACGGCUAACUACGUG